GCCCCGGUAGUGCAAUCGGUUAGCACAACAGACUAGACAUAUGUAGACGGGGGUUCGAGUCCUUCCUGAGGUU
rnacentral:tRNA from 1 species